AAUAAGGGCUUCUGUUGUGAGUGGUACACGUAGGGCGGCUCUGCUUGCUCUUCAUGCGGGAUCGACAUCAAGAGAUUUUGGAAACAAUUUAUUGACUUCUGGGCAGUUGGUGAUCAUUGGUCCUAAAUUUUUU